AAAUUUUAAAGAAUCUUUUUCGAAAACCUUUGGUCCAUCGGUUCUUCAUGCGGUCUAUAAGAGGUUUUGGCGCCCUUUUAGAGUGGCGCCCGCGUGAGGUGCACGCGUUGCACGCGCCUUUGCGGGGGCCCUGCUUCAGGUAAAUACUACUGUCUUCAAAUGGAUGGGUGCAGUCAAUGGUGAAGGAUAGGGGAGAGCGGGGCUGGAAGUUCACGGGGUCAGGUGUUCCGAUGGAAAUAACUUUGUAACGAAAAACAUAGCAAGAUAUGCAAAAUAUGCUCCUAAAGCACCAAGUGGAGCGCCAAUUUGGCAGUAGUUUUUAUUACUCUGGUGACGGUGAUUGAGUGGCUGUGUGCACGUGCUCUCGAAACGUCACGAUGCGAAACUACAAGACAGAGAGAGGUAAGACCUCCUAGACCUAGACAAUUGUUAAGUCAAGCUUCCCCUGGUGUUACUAACGACGAAAAAUCUGUUAAAACUGUGGCAAGAGAAAUUGAAUUUUCCUCAUGACCUUACAUUGACUUCUAGAAAACGACGUUUACGACACACGACUAUUUUAACAGACAUGCCAGAAAAUAAUGGAUUGGCUAAAGAACAGGCAGAGAAAAAGACAAACUGAUGAAGGCAUUACAAGGAGUGGAACAAAAAAAAUCAAAGAUACAAGAAAAGUAAAUGGUAAAAACAAGGAGGAAAGUGCAAAAAAAUAUCAGGAUUAGGAAAGAGCAAAACGCAAGAUACCGAGAAUGAAGCGGUAAGCGGUAAGAAUCUGGAAUGGUACCUACUGCCUAAUUUGUUAUGAUUCAAAUUAAAAUUCUCGACCAAGAAAACAAUGGUUUGUGGAUAGAAUGUACUAUGUGUAAAAAAUGGGCACCUACCAAAUAUUUAGAUGGAAAUGAUAUAGUCACUCUUAUGUGUAUAUCUUGAUUAUUGUGAGUCAGAUGAAGAGAAGAUUGAUGAAUAAGAUUGCUGAUGAAUAAAAAUGGAGAUUGUCAAAGUUAGUCACAAUUGAUCAAAAACCUGAAUAAAAAGUUUAUAUGGAAGUAA